rnacentral:rRNA from 1 species
GAUGAACGCUGACAGAAUGCUUAACACAUGCAAGUCGAUGGGGAAGUGGUGCUUGCACCCUGGUAACCAUGGCGGACGGGUGAGUAACACGUAAGGAACUUACCUGCGGGACCGGGAUAACAGCAGGAAACUGCUGACAAGACCGGAUAAGGUCAUUAAGCUGCAUAGCUUAGUGAUGAAAGGAGACGCCUGCGGAGAGCCUUGCGUCCUAUUAGCUAGUUGGAGGGGUAACGGCCCACCAAGGCGAAGAUAGGUAGCCGGCCUGAGAGGGUGGACGGCCACAAGGGGACUGAGAUACGGCCCUUACGCCUACGGGAGGCAGCAGUGGGGAAUAUUGGACAAUGGGGGCAACCCUGAUCCAGCAAUUCUGUGUGCACGAAGACGGUUUUCGGAUUGUAAAGUGCUUUCAGCAGGGAAGAAGGAAGUGACGGUACCUGCAGAAGAAGCGACGGCUAAAUACGUG